rnacentral:tRNA from 1 species
UGGUGGCGCUGGGGCCGCUGUUGGCCUGGCUGGUAUUCGUGGUGCCGGGCUGGAUGUAAUCAUCCCAACGGUGGUGCCAGCCGCUGGCCGGCAA